AGUAGCCAUCUAGGUAAUCAGAUUGGCAGAUCAUAAGAAGAAGGGUUAAACAAAUUCAAAUAUUCCACUGGUGCCAGCUUUUCUGGUUUUCUUCAUAUACCAUUGUUCUUGCAAGUUAGAUUUUAUGGUUCCAUUUCUUCAGGUGACCUAAAUUAGUGGCUCUUGACCCUGGUUUGCAAAGAGAAUUGAAAAAAUACUGAUGCCUGGGUUUCCUACGAAAGUCAACAAAAAGUGUCACGGCGAUUCUAUUGUGCAGCCAGGAUGAGCCCCAGGUGCCUUUACCCACCUUCAGCACUCCUCUUCUGCAUGCAGCAUGGCAAGCUUGUCCUCAGGAAAAUAACCUGCUUAAGUCACUCUAGUUCCUUGAUUCUAAGAUGCCACCGGUUCUGAGAUAUACUAUAGAUUGAAUAACAGCUUUUUGAUUAAAAAAAGAAUGAACAAAAGGCCAGGCAUGAUGCCUCAUGCAUGUAAUCCCAGCACUUUGGGAGGCCAAGGUGGGCAGAUCAUUUGAGGUCAGGAGUUCGAGACGAGCCUGGCCAACAUGGUGAAACCCCAUCUCUACCAAAAAUACAAAAAUUAGCCAGGCGUGGUGGCGGACACCUGUAAUCCCAGCUACUCAGGAGGCUGAGGUAGGAGAAUUGCUCAAACCCAGGAGGUGGAGGUUGCAAUGAGCCAAGAUCAUGCCACUGCACUCCAGCCUGGGAGACAGAGUGAGACUCCAUCUAAAAAAAAAAAAAAAAGAAUGAACAAGAAAAAAUAUCACCACAUUAUGAGUACACCUUAAUUUUAGGUCAUGCCAUGGUUUCAGAAAUAUUAAAAUGUAAAACUCAUGUAAAUCUUGGAAUAAAGAGAAAAAUAUAACAUCACAUUGGUUGAAAACAAAACUUUGCCUGCAGUUUUUUGAUGGCUGUUUGCAUUGUCAAAGAGGAUGCUUUCAAAGCUAAAAUAUUGCAAAUAUUGCUUUUUUUAAGGACACAUUUUUAAACUAGGUACUCUGCUAGGGAAAGGUUUCUGAAUCUUGGCAGUAUUGACAAUUUGGGCUGGAUACUUCUUUGCUGUGGGCAGCCGUCCUGUGCAUUGUCAGAUGUUCAGCAACCUCCCUGGCCUCUCUCUACCCACUUGAUGCCAACAACACUUAUUACCAACCACUCCCCCACCCAGCAUCCAGCAGUCACAACCAAAAAUAUCUCUAGACAUUGCCAAGUGUCCCCUGGGUAGGUGGCAAAAUUAUCUCUGGUUCAGAGCUGCUUGGCUAGUGGAAUAGAUAUUUUAGGGGCAGUGGCUUGUAUCAGUUAGCAUUCAGUUGCAGAGAACAAACCCUACCGUAGCUGGCUCAAGCUGAAAUGCAUUAACGACAGAGUAUUUAAUGGUCUACAAAACCGGUCUGUGGGCUGAAGAAACAGACACUGGGCUGGAGCCUCCAGAAAUGAGUUCUGAAGCUAUACCACAACUGAAUAAUCAAAGGAACUGCUUCACUUGCCUUGAUCUGGGCACUAGCAGUCAAUGGAAAAGCUGUGGUCAGGAAGCCAAUUCUGCUAAACUGGGAAGCUAAGAAGCCUUCUGCAGUAGCGGAAGGACAACUUGUGCCCAGCUUCUUUCCUUGCUUCACCCAGUUCUGAAUUCAAGUUCUGAAAGUGCAUUUGAUAACGCAGCCUAAAACACCCCCAGACUGCAAGGGAGCCUGGAAGAAAAGUAGUUUUUAGCUUACCAGUCUCUGCAAUUCACAGGAAGUCAUUUUAGAAGGAGAUUGGAAUGGAUAUUGAAUGAGCCCAUUUUUGGUAUCUUCCAUAAGUCUCUUUCCAGAGAUCCUCAACCCACACCAGCGGGUAACCACCUAUUCUGGGCAAUUGGGGUUGGCCAAAGUGUCCUCUUCACUCCCUAUUUACUCAUUUUAUAAUUAGUUAUUUUCUUUUUUGUCUUUUUCCAUUCUCAUCCCUAUUUUCUCUCUCAUUACCAUUCUUUUCACACCUCCUCCUUCUCUCACUCUCUAACUAUAGACUUGAAGGUCUAUAGUUUUCUGAGGACUUGAAGGUAUUUCAUACUUGGCCCUGUCCAUGCACAGGACACGUGAAAAGUCUUUGUUGAUGAGAGCUAAGGCCUAGGAUACUUACCUGUCACAAUCUGUGUCUCUAAUCUGCUGAAGACACUAUGGGAAUAGAUAUUUUGGGGCACGGUUAUAUCUUUGAAUAAUAUUUUCUCCAUCUAGAUGAAUAGAGCAC
rnacentral:lncRNA from 1 species